UCGUAAGUCGUACGGUGAUGCGUAAGUUGUACAAUGGUCGUAAGAGGUGCCAUGGUCGUAAGUCGUACGGCGGCUGAUAUACGGUGAUCGUUGUACGGCCUAUACGGCUAUACGCCUAUACGGCUGUGUGCCUAUACGGCUAUACGCCUAUACGGCUAUACGCUUAUACGGCUAUACGGCAGACGGCUCUCAAACUUACGAUGAGCUCUGAGUAUGGGACGGCCGUGCCCGUACCCGUGCCCACGUGACGGCCGCAUUAAAGGCGGCCAUGGCAGCUACCCACCACCCCCUCCCUCCUUCCUCCCCUCCCUGCCCCCGCUUGCUUAGUCAUCGUCGAGCUGGAUGACGUCAUCGUAUAGCUUGAUGACGUCAUCGUCAUGCUUGAUGACGUCAUCAAGUUACGUUAGGCUUAUAGCUAUGCUACAGGCCCAACGUAUUCAUAUUUUUAAUUAAGUUGAAACUUAUUUAGAUAUUUAUUUCCAUUUCAGCUUAAUUAAAGUUCAAUAGCGUUGGGCAAUCGCUUUAACUUUUACUGGCCUGUAAACUCACAAGCCUGGUAGGAAUAACAUUGCCUGGUAGGAAUAACAUGCAGAUAAUGCAGAGCGUUGUUUCUCAUGGCUUCAAUAUCUCCACUCGUAGCUAUGGUAGGAAUAACAUUGCCACAGAUAAAAAUAUAAAGGUUAGUUAUAAGAAAUUCCCCUCAGCCUCACUUCGCACAAUUUCUUUCAAGUUUCCCAUUAAAUUACGCUUUGAUAAUCAAUGGAUAUCAUUAGGAAUUAUUUUGUUUUAAAACUUGAUUUUAUCUUUUGUUGACUUUAUUGACUUCAGACUUAUCAUUUGUAUCAUAUAAUUAUUGCAAACAAAUAUAUAAUCAAAAGUUUCUUUCGACUAACUAUUUCGACCUGCACUAUUAAUGGUUAUUUAAAAUCCAAUUUUAUUUGAAUUCGAUAGUACAUUAAAUCUUGUUUGAAGUCGAUAUAUAGUGACGGGCCUGUUAUUUUAUAUUAAAUGUUUUAUGAAGUCAAUAGUGACUUACUAGUUAUUUUGUAUUCAUUGUUAUUUUAAGUGAGGUAGACUCACAAGUCUGGUAGGAAUAGCAUAGCCUGGUAGAAAUAUCGCGGUCUGGUAAAAAAAAUAUCGUGGUCUGGUAGGAAUAGCUUGGUCUGGUAGGAAUUUCGUGGUCUGGUAAAAAAAAUAUCGUGGUCUGGUAGGAAUAGCGUGGUCUGGUAGGAAUGUUGUGGCCUGGUAGGAAUGUCGUGGUCUGGUAUAUAGGAAUGUCGUGGUCUGGUAGGAAUGUCGUGGUCUGGUAGGAAUGUCGUGGUCUGGUAGGAAUGUCGUGGUCUGGUAGGAAUAGCGUAGUCUGGUAGGAAUGUCGUGGUCUGGUAGGAAUAGCACAGUCUGGUAGGAAUAGCACCGUCUCACUGAACUAAAUCGAGCUACUACUCUUAACCCAUCGCUAGUACGAACUAGUACAUGUUUAUACAACAUCUAGGAGCAUUACUGCACUAGAACUUCUAUGUACAAUAAAAUCUAGUCAAAUUCUGC
rnacentral:lncRNA from 1 species